AACCCCAAUUUGAAUACUGCUCACUUUUGAAUCAUUCUUUUGUCUGUUCACCCACAGGUUGAGAUUUUUGGUAAAGAAGUGGCAGAAAGGCACCAAAAAAGGUCAGAUCCAGGUUGUUGCUGUGAAUGGAAGCACACACAGUGAAGUUUUAAGGCAGCACCCUGGAUUUACCUUUAACUCUCCUCUGACUCGAGAAGCUGAAAUUCUCCACAGAAGUGCCUUUACACACAUGCAUCAGCCCCCUAAAUCACCUUACAGGCUCCACAACAGGUCUUGCCACUCUCCUGGCCCAUCGCGAUCAUUCACCUUUCAGGACUCUCUGGCUGACUACAUUCACCAUUUAGAAGUGGUCCAGCAGCAGUUAGGAGGCCUUUCAUCAGGGCCCUCCACAGGACCGUCUUACAGCAGAACUUCCAAAAGAUGAAAGAACUUUUAUUAUGAAGAAUCAGCACUGAAUCUGACCUUUCCCUUGCUGUCUGUUACUGUAAAUGUAAUAUAUACACAAGAGGUUUUAAUAGUAGUGAUGGGCAAAUAUAUUUUUAUACAGUAUAUGCAAUAAUCACAUUUUUGAAAUGUUUUAUUUGUAAGCACUGAAGUUUCAGUUAUGUCCACAAGGGAGGGAGGAGACUGGGAGACUCACUUUCACCUUUUAAACGUGUGUGUUGUAUGGAGCAAAUUUAUGCACGUUAUCAUUUUGUGCUAAUUUAAUACUUUCACUGUUUUUAUGAGUGAUCUGCUGGUUGGUACACUUUUAUAUAUACUGUAUUUGUUUGCAAUGUUGUUCUUUUUAAGCAAAAAUUCUUGAAGUGUCGAUGAGGUGUAAACCAUUCUUAAAUGUUGUUUUUAUGUCCAUGUUCUUUCUACAAAGCAAAUAAAUAUUUUUAA